rnacentral:rRNA from 1 species
CAGUCGCCGCGGGAAAACGUAGGUGGCAAGCGUUGUCCGGAAUUAUUGGGCGUAAAGGGCUCGCAGGCGGUUUCUUAAGUCUGAUGUGAAAGCCCCCGGCUCAACCGGGGAGGGUCAUUGGAAACUGGGAAACUUGAGUGCAGAGGAGGAGAGUGGAAUUCCACGUGUAGCGGUGAAAUGCGUAGAGACGUGGAGGAACACCAGUGGCGAAGGCGACUCUCUGGUCUGUAACUGACGCUGAGGAGCGAAAGCGUGGGGAGCGAACAGGAUUAGAUACCCCAGUAGUCCCUGUCUCUUAUAC